UACGGAGGGGGCUAGCGUUAUUCGGAAUUAUUGGGCGUAAAGGGCGCGUAGGCGGCCCGGUAAGUCAAAGGUGAAAUCCCUCGGCUCAACUGAGGAACUGCCUUUGAAACUGUCGGGCUUGAGGCCAGGAGGGGGUAGCGGAAUUCCCAGUGUAGCGGUGAAAUGCGUAGAUAUUGGGAGGAACACCGGUGGCGAAGGCGGCUACCUGGACCGGUUCUGACGCUGAUGCGCGAAAGCGUGGGUAGCAAACAGG
rnacentral:rRNA from 1 species